rnacentral:rRNA from 1 species
UACGUAGGGUGCGAGCGUUAAUCGGAAUUACUGGGCGUAAAGCGUGCGCAGGCGGUCUGUUAAGACCGAUGUGAAAUCCCCCGGGCUCAACCUGGGAACUGCAUCUGUGACUGCAUCGCUGGAGUGCGGCAGAGGGGGGAUGGAAUUCCGCGUGUAGCAGUGAAAUGCGUAGAUAUGCGGAGGAACACCGAUGGCGAAGGCAAUCCCCUGGGCCUGCACUGACGUCAUGCACGAAAGCGUGGGGAGAAACAGG